AGGAAGAAAGAUGGCGGCGCAAAACCAGAAACUGAAAGAGGAACGGUCCAAACCUAUGGUCCAAACAGAGUCCGAUGCCGUUAUGGCGUAGAGAGAGUGAGCUGGAUUCUCCCAAGGAUUGCUCUUCGGAGAGGCCGCGGUUUAUUACAAAUGGGAAAGCUUUCAUUGCAGAUUGCUCCGGCGCAGCGCAGAGGCCUUAUGGAGAAAUAAAUGGACAACUGACCAGCCCUGGCCGGACACAGACAGCCUGCGUAAUGAACAAAGAGGAAAAGGCAACAGAGUCAAAGUUUGGUGCAGAUUUUCGUCUACAUAUUUUCAUAUUUUGCAACUUAAUUUAGCUUUAGCCCACACUGGAUACUACAUAAACCUU